rnacentral:rRNA from 1 species
UAUGGAAUCUUCGGCAAUGGGGGCAACCCUGACCGAGCAACGCCGCGUGAGUGAAGAAGGUUUUCGGAUCGUAAAGCUCUGUUGUAAGAGAAGAACGUGUGUGAGAGUGGAAAGUUCACACAGUGACGGUAACUUACCAGAAAGGGACGGCUAACUACGUGCCAGCAGCCGCGGUAAUACGUAGGUCCCGAGCGUUGUCCGGAUUUAUUGGGCGUAAAGCGAGCGCAGGCGGUUUACUAAGUCUGAAGUUAAAGGCAGUGGCUUAACCAUUGUUCGCUUUGGAAACUGUUAAACUUUAGUGCAGAAGGGGAGAGGGGAAUUCCAUGUGUAGCUGUGAAAUGCGUAGGUAUAUGGAGGAACACCGGUGGUGAAAGCGGCGCCCUGGUCUGUAACUGACGCUGAGGCUCGAAAGCGUGGGGAGCAAACAGG